rnacentral:rRNA from 1 species
GAUGAACGCUGGCGGCGUGCCUAAUACAUGCAAGUCGAGCGAACAGACGAGGAGCUUGCUCCUUUGACGUUAGCGGCGGACGGGUGAGUAACACGUGGGUAGCCUACCUAUAAGACUGGGAUAACUUCGGGAAACCGGAGCUAAUACCGGAUAAUAUUUCGAACCGCAUGGUUCGAUAGUGAAAGAUGGCUCUGCUAUCACUUAUAGAUGGACCUGCGCCGUAUUAGCUAGUUGGUAAGGUAACGGCUUACCAAGGCAACGAUACGUAGCCGACCUGAGAGGGUGAUCGGCCACACUGGAACUGAGACACGGUCCAGACUCCUACGGGAGGCAGCAGUAGGGAAUCUUCCGCAAUGGGCGAAAGCCUGACGGAGCAACGCCGCGUGAGUGAUGAAGGUCUUCGGAUCGUAAAACUCUGUUAUUAGGGAAGAACAAACGUGUAAGUAACUGUGCACGUCUUGACGGUACCUAAUCAGAAAGCCACGGCUAACUACGUG